GAUGAACGCUGGCGGCGUGCCUAAUACAUGCAAGCCGAGCGAACAGAUGAGGAGCUUGCUCCUCUGACGUUAGCGGCGGACGGGUGAGUAACACGUGGAUAACCUACCUAUAAGACUGGGAUAACUUCGGGAAACCGGAGCUAAUACCGGAUAAUAUAUUGAACCGCAUGGUUCAAUAGUGAAAGACGGUUUUGCUGUCACUUAUAGAUGGAUCCGCGCCGCAUUAGCUAGUUGGUAAGGUAACGGCUUACCAAGGCAACGAUGCGUAGCCGACCUGAGAGGGUGAUCGGCCACACUGGAACUGAGACACGGUCCAGACUCCUACGGGAGGCAGCAGUAGGGAAUCUUCCGCAAUGGGCGAAAGCCUGACGGAGCAACGCCGCGUGAGUGAUGAAGGUCUUCGGAUCGUAAAGCUCUGUUAUUAGGGAAGAACAAAUGUGUAAGUAACUAUGCACGUCUUGACGGUACCUAAUCAGAAAGCCACGGCUAACUACGUG
rnacentral:rRNA from 1 species